GACGAACGCUGGCGGCGUGCUUAACACAUGCAGGUCGAACGGAAAGGCCUUUUCGGAGGUACUCGAGUGGCGAACGGGUGAGUAACACGUGGGUGAUCUGCCCUGCACUCUGGGAUAAGCCUGGGAAACUGGGUCUAAUACCGGAUAGGACCGCACUUUAGUGUGUGUGGUGGAAAGUUUUUUCGGUGUAGGAUGAGCCCGCGGCCUAUCAGCUUGUUGGUGGGGUAAUGGCCUACCAAGGCGGCGACGGGUAGCCGGACUGAGAGGUUGGUCGGCCACAUUGGGACUGAGAUACGGCCCAGACUCCUACGGGAGGCAGCAGUGGGGAAUAUUGCACAAUGGGCGCAAGCCUGAUGCAGCGACGCCGCGUGGGGGAUGACGGCCUUCGGGUUGUAAACUCCUUUCGCCAGGGACGAAGCGUUUUGUGACGGUACCUGGAGAAGAAGCACCGGCUAACUACGCG
rnacentral:rRNA from 1 species